rnacentral:rRNA from 1 species
AUUGAACGCUGGCGGCGGGCCUAACACAUGCAAGUCGAGCGGAUGAAGGGUGCUUGCUCCUGGAUUCCGCGUCGGACGGGUGUGUAAUACCUAUGAAUCUGCCUGCUAUUGGUGGAUAACGUCCUGAGACGGGCGCUAAUACUGCAUACUUCCUGCUGGAGCAGGUUGGUGAUCUUCGGACCUCUCGCUCUGAGAUGGGCCUAGGCGGGAUUUGAUAGUUGGUGGGGUGAGGGCCUACCAAGGCGAGGAUCCGUAACUGGUCUGAGAGGAUGAUCAGUCACACUGGAAGUGGGACAGGGUCAAGACUACUACGGGAGGCAGCAGUGGGGAAUAGGGGACAAUGGGCGAAAGCAUGAUACAGCGAGGGCGCGUGUGUGAAGAAGGUCUUCGGAUUGGAAAGAACGCUAAGGGGGGAGAAAGGGCAGUAAGUUGAUACCAAGCUGUUUUGACGGUACCAACAGAAGAAGCACCGGCUAACUACGUG